AAUUGGAGGGCAAGUCUGGUGCCAGCAGCCGCGGUAAUUCCAGCUCCAAUAGCGUAUAUUAAAGUUGUUGCAGUUAAAAAGCUCGUAGUUGAAUUUCGGGAUCAAUAUUUCGGUCAUGCCGUUGGUACGCACUGUUAUCAUUGAUUUCUCACCUUCUAAAGAACCGUAAUGCCAUUAAUUUGGUGUUACGGGGAAUUAGGACUGUUACCUUGAAAAAAUUAGAGUGUUUAAAGCAGGCUCACGCUUGAAUACAUUAGCAUGGAAUAAUGAAAUAGGACAUCCGAUUCUAUUUUGUUGGUUUCUAGGAUCGAUGUAAUGAUUAAUAGGGAUAGUUGGGGGCAUUAGUAUUCAAUUGUCAGAGGUGAAAUUCUUGGAUUUAUUGAAGACUAACUACUGCGAAAGCAUUUGCCAAGGAUGUUUUCAUUAAUCAAGAACGAAAGUUAGGGGAUCGAAGACGAUCAGAUACCGUCGUAGUCUUAACCAUAAACUAUGCCGACUAGGGAUCGGAUGAUGUUAAUUUUUUAAUGACUCAUUCGGCGCCUUACGGGAAACCAAAGUGU
rnacentral:rRNA from 1 species